GUUACGACUUAUCUCCAGAAGAGAGUGACGGAAUAUGAACCUGAUUUAUAACUGUUUCGAUUAAUGUCCUACACUUGGUUAAUUUUAUUCAAAGCAUUAGCUUCCCUAUUAAACUAGAUGUCAUUUGUAAAAUUUAAAUUGCUAUUUAUUUUUUGAAACCACACUUAAACCAUAAAAUAGUAAAUAACAUUGAGGAUUGUCAAGUUAAGGGCCAAAAUUCUCUAAUUUAAAUCACUAAUUUAGUUUGUUUUAUUACCUAGUAAAGUUUCAUACCUGGAUUCUAUCCCAGUUUUGCAAAAUUUUUAGCAUUUAGUAAUAGGAAAAAAAGUCUAUUUAAUAACAGAAAAGCAUAAUUCUA
rnacentral:rRNA from 1 species